GAUGAACGUUGGCGGUGUGCCUAAUACAUGCAAGUCGAACGGUAACGCGGGGCAACCUGGCGACGAGUGGCGAACGGGUGAGUAAUGUAUCGGAACGUGCCCAAUAGUGGGGGAUAGCCCGGCGAAAGCCGGAUUAAUACCGCAUGAGACCUGAGGGUGAAAGCGGGGGAUCGCAAGACCUCGCGCUGUUGGAGCGGCCGAUAUCAGAUUAGGUAGUUGGUGGGGUAAAGGCCUACCAAGCCUGCGAUCUGUAGCUGGUCUGAGAGGAUGACCAGCCACACUGGGACUGAGACACGGCCCAGACUCCUACGGGAGGCAGCAGUGGGGAAUUUUGGACAAUGGGCGCAAGCCUGAUCCAGCCAUGCCGCGUGCGGGAAGAAGGCCUUCGGGUUGUAAACCGCUUUUGUCAGGGAAGAAAUCUUCUGGGUUAAUACCUCGGGAGGAUGACGGUACCUGAAGAAUAAGCACCGGCUAACUACGUGCCAGCCGCCGCGGUAA
rnacentral:rRNA from 1 species